GAAAAACUGUAGAGAAAAAUCAGCCAGAGACUCCAGCCCUUAGGAGCAGUUGCAGAAACAACCAAAGCAGGGACCUUUGGACAUUCAGGCAACUUAGUAUAGGUACAUGCUGAUGGGAGCUAUAUCAAAUAAUAUACAUAUCCGGAAAUGGUGAACAUUUGACUAUUAUGCUGCCUCGAUCUCUACCUGUCUCAAAAAGCCAGGAAUGCAAGCGUAAAGGUUCCAACAAUGAAGUGCCAGUCUACCAAGCCAGAGAUCUUUCUUCCUUCAGAUCUCUGCCAAACACUAACUUCUGUGUUG